UGGGGAAUAUUGCACAAUGGACGGAAGUUUGAUGCAGCGACGCCGCGUGGAGGGUGUAGGCCUUCGGGUUGUGAACUCCUUUUUCUCGCGAAAAAGGCACAGUUUUGGCUGUGUUGAUGGUAGUGGGGGAAGAAGCGCCGGCUAACUACGUGCCAGCAGCCGCGGUAAUACGUAGGGCGCGAGCGUUGUCCGGAUUUAUUGGGCGUAAAGAGCUCGUAGGUGGUUCGUCGCGUCUGUCGUGAAAGCCAGCAGCUUAACUGUUGGUCUGCGGUGGGUACGGGCGGGCUUGAGUGCGGUAGGGGUGACUGGAAUUCCUGGUGUAGCGGUGGAAUGCGCAGAUAUCAGGAGGAACACCGAUGGCGAAGGCAGGUCACUGGGCCGUUACUGACACUUAGGAGCGAAAGCGUGGGGAGCGAACAGG
rnacentral:rRNA from 1 species